AACGCUGGCGGCGUGCCUAACACAUGCAAGUCGUACGAGAAAGCCGGCUUCGGCUGGUGAGUAAAGUGGCGCACGGGUGAGUAACGCGUGGAUAAUCUGCCCUUAAGUGUGGAAUAACGUACCGAAAGGUGCGCUAAUACCGCAUAAUGCCUGGCAACACAAGUUGUCCGGCCAAAGAAGGCCUCUGUUUACAAGCUUUCGCUUCAGGAUGAGUCCGCGUACCAUUAGCUUGUUGGUGGGGUAAUGGCCUACCAAGGCUGCGAUGGUUAGCUGGUCUGAGAGGAUGAUCAGCCACACUGGAACUGAGACACGGUCCAGACUCCUACGGGAGGCAGCAGUGGGGAAUAUUGGACAAUGGGCGAAAGCCUGAUCCAGCAACGCCGCGUGAGGGAUGACGGCCUUACGGGUUGUAAACUUCUUUUCUGUCAGAAGAAUAAGCUUGUCGAGACGAGUGAUGCCGGUAUGACAGGAAUAAGCAUCGGCUAACUCCGUG
rnacentral:rRNA from 1 species